rnacentral:rRNA from 1 species
UACGAAGGAUGCAAGCGUUAUCCGGAUCUAUUGGGUUUAAAGGGUGCGUAGGCGGACUUAUAAGUCAGUGGUGAAAUCUCGUUGCUUAACAACGAACGUGCCAUUGAUACUGUAGGUCUUGAGUACAGAUGCCGUUGGCGGAAUGUGUCAUGUAGCGGUGAAAUGCAUAGAUAUGACACAGAACACCGAUUGCGAAGGCAGCUGACGAAACUGUAACUGACGCUGAGGCACGAAAGCGUGGGGAUCAAACAGG